AAAAAGGAAAAACUUAGAAAACCAAAUAAAUAUUUUCUUGCUUUAAUGUUACUGCAUUCUAUAAACAUGAAAACAAAAUAAAAAGAGUGUGUAGAUAAGUGUGCUUUAUUUAUCUGCUAAGUCUUAAUCUCUAAAAAAAUAAAAGACCAAAAAGAUACAUGAUGGAAAUGAUGAACAGUCUGUUUGCUUACCUACAAGUACCUAGCUUUUAUAUUAGAGUUCUUCCAGGAAUUACUAAAACUAAAAUUACUAUCUUUGGGAAGCAUAAAACUAAAGUCUAGGUAAGAGAAAGGCAUGAUAUAAAGUUGAGCUACUGUUUAUCUUGUUCCUACUACACUAAGUUCUAGAGAUUUAUUUUGAAAACUUACAAGUCACAUGAUGAGUUCCUAGCAUAACAAACUACCUACCACAGCCAUACUUGCUAUAACAUCUUUUACUAUAUUUACAUUGAGUUUGAUCGAGCUGUGUAGACCCUUAGGAGCUUUUCAUGUGGUUAAAUUAAGAUAUUCACUUGCACACAUCUACCACAGCAUUCAUUACCAAUCAUUAAAAUUGCUAAAAAUAUUAUCACUCACUGUCCCGAAUAUUGUUAUUCUCUCUCUCUCAAAAGAUUCAAUGCAGAAGAGACAUAGGUUAUGCAAAAAUAUGCGAGGAAAUAAAAAGGGGCAAGUGCCCGGAACCUCGAAAAAGAAAGAAAAAGAGUGAGACGAGAGGUAAAAAUGGACAAGUGUCCGAAGUAGAAUUAGGGGUACAAAAAUGCCCACUUGAGCGAAAAAAUGGACAAGUGUCCGACAGUAGAAUUAGGGGUAUCUACUACCCACCUGAAAAAAAAAACAACAGAAGAAAAAGAGAUAGCCCAUGUUCUCCCAAAGUAAAGAUCAAAGAAGAGGAGAGAUAGCAAUAUGAGGAGCAAUGAGAACUAAGUUUUAUUAUCACUUAUCAUCACUAUCAUUACUCCAUCACACAUGCACAUCUUAAUUUAAUUAUAUGCUGAGUUCCUUUGGAUCCAUGGCUUGAUUAGACAACAUAUGUAUGAGCUGUUUUUCACUCCUAUGAGCUCCACUUAAAUAUUCCCUUAGCUAUAGGUAAGUGACACUAUGGUAAGGAUCCACAAAUACCACAUAUAGAGAGACUUGAGAGAAUCAUUGCUGGGAACUCUGAGUUUUAUUUUUGAAAACUUAUGAAAAACUCUGGAACAAAGGUGAAGUAUAAACAGGAG
rnacentral:lncRNA from 1 species